AAAGUAUCCUACACCUUUCAAUCAAAGAUCAAUUUCAGUUUAUCAUUGCUUUUUAUACGAAAUGGCAAAGUUUUCUUGCUCCAUAAUCUUCAUUGGUUUCCUCCUAUUCUCAGCUGCAUGCAUGUUGUCGGUCAAUGCAAUACAAUGUGAAGAGAAGUUGUACGAAGGAUGCGUACCUAAAGACUGUAGCGAGAGAUGUUUGCAGAAGUUUCCCAAAUCAACAUCUGAAUGUGUUCCAAUUGGACAAAUCCCAUUUAACUAUAUUUGCUAUUGUUUCCAUGAUUGCUAGAAGAUGAUUAAUUUUGGUUUUUAUCACAGUCUCUAUUAAAUAAAACCGUUGAAUCUCUCUAUGAAUUCAACCAAUCCCUUGUAACUAUUUUAUUUUUGCUUUUGUUGUUGCUUCCAUGAUCGCUAGAAAGUGAUCAAUUCUGGUUUUUACCCGUCUCCAUUAAAGAAAAUGGUUGGAUGCCUC